AAACAGAACGUUGGGUUUAAAUGCAGCAAAAUCCACAGAGACCGAGUAAGGCAGAGAGAGUGAGCGCAAGGGCAAAUAAUCUAUCACUGUCUAAACAGGCUGUCUAUGGAGCAAGGGUCUUUCAGUACAUGUGGCUGACUGUUAAUAUGGAUAGAGAAGUAUCGGCCACAUGGGAGGUGGGUGAAAGUGAGAGCAUUGCGAAGAUGCUGACAAAGUCCCCGACAGACCGUUUGGGGAGUGCUGGUGUGUUGUCGUGAAAGGAUGCUUGGAGACAGUUGUACAAGGAUCAACUGUAGAGAUAAGGACCGCACUCACCCACUGCUUUGAACCUUGUACAGCUACUUUACCUUCUUUUCGACUUUUUCUAAUCUGACUAAAUGUGUGUGACAGGUGUGGAAAGAGGCAAUACUCAGAUGGAUGAAGUUUGCAGGUCGUGACCAGACUUCCUUACAUCGCCUCCAGCUGAUGCAGAAUGCACUUUCAAGCUUGCUAACAGUGUUCCCUCCAUUUCCUCGCCAAGUGAAUUCCUACCGCCACGCCGCCAAGCCAGCCCCCUGGCCUCGUCACCGCCUGCCACGCAUUCCCUGCCUCCACAACCCGCCAGCGCUCCUCAAGGACCAUCUAAAUUUCC